GGUCUGUUGUGGGGUGGCGUCCUGAGGGGUCAGAAGGGGCGGCCAGCCCUGGCCCAGCCCCUGGGGGCCCUCGGGGAGGAGGCUGGGGGAGGGGGGUCCCUCCACAAGCAGGACGGGCCCCAUCUGGUCUGCGGCGCUGAGACCAGUGCUUCUGAGACGGGAAACCCACCCGCCAGGUUCAAGGAAGAGGAUGGGGGGUGUCAGUCCCAAAAGAUACAUGGUCGCUGUGGCCGAGCCCUGGACCUCUUCAACCCCUGGGCUAACGGGGCCGUUUUGGGUCCGAAUGCAGAGCGAGCAUCACCCCCACUUCACGUCGGGCGUCACUGUCUAGAAACUAAGGAGCAAGGAAAACCAAAGAGACCCAGCAUCGGUCCAGCUCACGGAAGCCCGCGGUCGAGGUCAACCCCCGAGAACACCCUCAGGACAGUCGCCAGCUCAGGGCGGCUAGUUCCCCGACGAGGGGGCUGGAGAGGAAUCCCCCUCCUUCCCGCCCGCUGGCCCCUGUUGUCGGACAGGACCUCAGAGCAGCGGCUCUUCCCGGGUGUCUCCAUGGCAACAGGAACGGAGCUGGCGUGUGGCCUGGAUGUAAUAUCAGGCACGCCCUCUAGUCACCCCAGACGAGGGAGGGGCCCAGAUACCCAGGCAGGUGCCCAGCUGCCCCGCCAGGGGCACAGGUGACCCUGUCUGAGAAGGGCUGUUCCCCCGAGGUCUCAGAGAGACCCACAGACAAUGGUUAAAGGGCAAUGACUAACAUGCAGCUACUGACACCAGGGAAGCCAGCGCACCAAGCACAUGAGCAAGAACUGAGUUUAAAAAAUAGCAAGAGACCCACACGACCUUCAGACGGGAAUUAGCAAACACCAUGUACGAAACAACAGCUCUUUCUAUUUUUAAACAGGCUUUGCUUUUUGGAGCAGUUUUGGGUUCAGGACACAAUGGAGCAGAGAGCAGAGUCCCCGGGCGCCACCCCCCCCACCCCUAGUGCCCUGUGACGGGCUCCUUCUAUUUCUUUAAAGAAACAAGUGACAAGCUUGAUGCAACUUUGUGGGGUAGAAGAUGAUGCAACAUGACUUCCCAAACCUGAGUAAGACAGAGAGCCCUUUAGAAAACAAAUACAACGACUGGAGUUAAGACACAACGGAGGAGUUCCCAGCAUGGCUCAGCGGAAACGAAUCCGACUAGGAUCCAUGAGGUUGCAGGUUCAAUCCUUGGCCUUGCUCAGUGGGUUAAGGAUUCGGCAUUGCCGUGAGCUGCAGUGUAGGUCGCAGAGGCAGCUCGGGUCCUGCAUUGCUGCGGCUGUGGUGUAGGCCGGUGGCUACAGCUCCGAUUCGACCCCUAGCCUGGGAGCCUCCAUAUGCUGCAAAUGCUGCAAGAUUAAAAAAAAAAAAAAAAAGACACAAUGCAUCCCAAGCAACAGCCUGGACUGGUUAUCUGGAGGACAGUUGGGAAGAAAUGACCCAGAAGUGACCCCAGGAAGGGCAGAAUGCACAAGACAGAGGAGAGAGACAGCAUGGGAAGGUCUCUGAGGAGGAAAACGAGAGGAAAAACUUGGAUGCAAAUUUGCAGAUGCGACCGAGAAGCCUCUGCCCUUGAUGACAGACAGCCAUCCAACGAUACAAAGCAGGUCAAAAUCAAGACAAAUGGUAAUGAAACACGAGGAAAAAAGAAACACAGACAA
ensembl:lncRNA